rnacentral:rRNA from 1 species
GACGAACGCUGGCGGCGUGCCUAAUACAUGCAAGUCGAGCGCAGGAAACUGACAGAACUCUUCGGAGGGAAGGCAGUGGAAUGAGCGGCGGACGGGUGAGUAACACGUAAGGAACCUGCCUCAAGGAUUGGGAUAACUCCGAGAAAUCGGAGCUAAUACCGGAUAGUUCAACGGACCGCAUGGUCCGCUGAUGAAAGGCGCUCCGGCGUCACCUUGAGAUGGCCUUGCGGUGCAUUAGCUAGUUGGUGGGGUAACGGCCCACCAAGGCGACGAGGCAGAGCCGACCUGAGAGGGUGGUCGGCCACCCUGGGACUGAGACACGGCCGAGACUCCGACGGGAGGCAGCAGUAGGGAAUCUUCCACAAUGGACGAAAGUCUGAUGGAGCAACGCCGCGUGAGUGAUGAAGGUUUUCGGAUCGUAAAACGCUGUUGUAAGGGAAGAACACGUACGAGAGGAAAUGCUCGUACCUUGACGGUACCUUACGAGAAAGCCACGGCUAACUACGUGCCAGCCGCCGCGGUAA